GUAAAUAUUUACCAGCAACUUAACUUUUAGUUGAUUAAAGCAAAAAGUAAACCAUGAAAUUGGGAGAUUUUAUUACAUUAGUUAAUAAGAGUGUGGUAGCAUUUUUCUCCAAUUUGGCUGGGAUUAUUCAAAGUAGGGUGUGUAUGUAACUUAUCACUGGACCACUUUAGUUUAAUCAGAAAUUCCUUUUAGCUGACAACAUUGCUUAAACAGGAUAGUAGUUGGCAAGAUGAAAUGCCAGAAUUAAAACCAAUCAUAA
rnacentral:lncRNA from 1 species